GUGAGGAAUAUUGCGCAAUGGAGGCAACUCUGACGCAGCCAUGCCGCGUGCAGGAAGAAGGCGCUACGCGUUGUAAACUGCUUUUAACCGGGAAGAAACCCCAGGACGUGUCCUGGGUUGACGGUACCGGAGGAAUAAGCACCGGCUAACUUCGUGCCAGCAGCCGCGGUAAUACGAAGGGUGCAAGCGUUAUCCGGAUUCAUUGGGUUUAAAGGGUGCGUAGGCGGAGCGUUAAGUCAGUGGUGAAAUCCUGCAGCUUAACUGUAGACUUGCCAUUGAUACUGGCGCUCUUGAGUGCGCUUGAAGUGGGCGGAAUGUGCCGUGUAGCGGUGAAAUGCUUAGAUAUGGCACAGAACACCAAUUGCGAAGGCAGCUCACGAAGGCGAUACUGACGCUGAGGCACGAAAGCGUGGGGAUCGAACAGGAUUAGAAACCCCAGUAGUCC
rnacentral:rRNA from 1 species